AGCGCCGCUCUCGGCCUUUUGGCUAAGAUCAAGUGUAGUAUCUGUUCUUAUCAGUUUAAUAAAGAUCAAUAAAUAAAUUCAGCGCCGCAAUUUCAAAAUCAGUUCACCACAUGAUGUGUCUCUGGCAUCAGCACUCUGACACAUAUUAUAUAAUUAUUAUUAUAUUUGUAAAAAUGUUAGAAGAUGCUUU